AUUUAGUCUGGCCUUACCUGCUGGUUUGGAAGGAUCUUGCUUGGUACUUCCAACUACUAGCAUAUUGGUGGCCUCUAUGCUAUAGAAGGAAUCACCUUGUCUGCUUGCUGCUGCUAUUUAUAUCCCAGCAGCUUUUGUAUCUGACACCAGUGAUCUCUGCUCAGGAAGUCUUCCAGUUUCUUUUAAUUCCUAACUGAAUCUCUACAAUUCAAAGGCUUCUUUAUUAAACCUCCUCAUUCCACCGACGUUCCCCUACCCCUCCUGGUUCCUAUAUGGUCAUUCCAUCUUGGCCCCAUAAUUUUUUGGGGGUGACCUCUUGUGGUGUUGAGCGGGGUGUUUCACAUUAUGUGGACAGCUGUUUUUUCUGCCUGGGAUGGAAGCUA